GAUGAACGCUGGCGGCGCGCCUAACACAUGCAAGUCGAACGGUUAAAGCACCUUUUAGGUGUGUAUAAAGUGGCGAACGGCUGAGUAACACGUGGGCAACCUGCCCUCCUCUUGGGGAUAGCCUCGGGAAACCGAGGAUAAUACCCGAUACUUCAAUGUGGCCGCAUGACGACAUUGAGAAAGCUUUUGCGGAGAAGGAUGGGCCCGCGGCCUGUUAGCUUGUUGGUGGGGUAGAGGCCUACCAAGGCAAUGAUGGGUAGCUGGGUUGAGAGACCGACCAGCCAGAGUGGGACUGAGACACGGCCCAGACUCCUACGGGAGGCAGCAGUGGGGAAGCUUGCACAAUGGGCGAAAGCCUGAUGCAGCGACGCCGCGUGCGGGACGAAGGCCUUCGGGUUGGAAACCGCUUUCAGCAGGGACGAGGCGAUAAGUGACGGUACCUGCAGAAGAAGCCCCGGCUAACUACGUG
rnacentral:rRNA from 1 species